rnacentral:lncRNA from 1 species
CCGCGCAGAAAACGGAGUGGGGAUGCGGGACACGGGAGGAAGCGGGGGGCCGGGGCGGCCCCGCGGCUAGAGCCGCUCGUACAGCCCUGCCCCCCCGCCCGGCUCCGCUCCGCUCCUUCCUCCUUCUUCACCCCCCCUUUCUCUCCCUCCCGCUUCCCCCCGGCCCGGGCGGGGUGUGGGUGGCCGCGGGGACGGUGGACAUUUUGCGAGUCGCGGCUGCCCCCGGUGCGGCAGCGGCGGCGGCCUCGGGGUGUGUGAGACUGCGCGUGUGCUCGUGUGUGCGGGGGGGCGGCGUGCGGUGCCGGUGUGUGUAUGUGUGUGUGCAGUGUGUGUAUAUGUGUGUGCGUGCGGUGUGUGUGUGCGAGCGUGGGGGCUCUGGUGUGUCUGUGUGUGUGCGGUGCCGGUGCGUGUGUGUGUGCGGAGGGUGCGGUGCCGGCUGUGUGUGUGGGUUGCCGUGCCUUGCCGUGUGUGUGUGAUGUGUGUGUAUGUGUGCGGGCGGGGGAUGCGGUGCCGGUGCGGUGCCGUGUAUGUGUGUGUGUGUGUGUGUGUGUGCGUGCGCGGCCGGCACGGCGCGGUGCGGGGGGGCCGUGCGGGGCUCGUACGCCGGGCGGACCCGGCGGGGCGCAGCGCCGGGCCGGUCGCCGGCAGGGCCGGUCGCCGCCACCGCACGGCGUAUGUAGUACGGGGCUGGGCGGCUGCCGGAGGGUGAAUGAAGCGAGGAGGAGGCGGCGGCGGCGGCGGGGGAGGCGGCGCUGGCGCUGGGAUGUGCCCGGCAGCAGCCCCGCUUCGCUUCACUCAGGGCCCAGGCCGGCUGCAGACGCCACCCGUCACAUUGCAGGCCAAGCCAGAUGGGCAAGCAAUACAAGCUGUGAAUUUAUUCUUGACCCCGUAGGACAGUGACCACCAUCAGUUUUUUCUUCACCCUACAGUUAUGCACUGCCAAUAAGGUGAGAAUGCAAUGCCUUUUAUUUUUUUUUUUCCUUCACCACGUGUACACUGUCUGCUCUGGGCUUUAGGCAAAGUGCACAUCUUCCUGGUGUCUGUGUGAUUACCUACCUGUGAUAGGUUUGUACUUCCCUUGCCUGGCAGCAGAGGUCCUUGAGAAACUCUGCUCAGAAAAAUUCCUUUAAC